AUACGGAGGGUGCGAGCGUUAAUCGGAAUUACUGGGCGUAAAGCGUACGUAGGCGGUUGGUUAAGUUAGAUGUGAAAGCCCCGGGCUUAACCUGGGAACUGCAUUUAAAACUGGCGAACUAGAGUUGAGUAGAGGGGAGUGGAAUUUCAGGUGUAGCGGUGAAAUGCGUAGAGAUCUGAAGGAACACCAGUGGCGAAGGCGACUCCCUUGACUCGAACUGACGCUGAGGUACGAAAGCGUGGGUAGCAAACGGGAUUAGAAACCCUAGUAGUCC
rnacentral:rRNA from 1 species